UACGUAGGUGGCGAGCGUUGUCCGGAUUUACUGGGCGUAAAGGGAGCGUAGGCGGACUUUUAAGUGAGAUGUGAAAUACCCGGGCUCAGCUUGGGUGCUGCAUUUCAAACUGGAAGUCUAGAGUGCAGGAGAGGAGAAUGGAAUUCCUAGUGUAGCGGUGAAAUGCGUAGAGAUUAGGAAGAACACCAGUGGCGAAGGCGAUUCUCUGGACUGUAACUGACGCUGAGGCUCGAAAGCGUGGGGAGCAAACAGGAUUAGAUA
rnacentral:rRNA from 1 species